GACAAGGUGGGAGGAGAGAAGGUUAGUUAGUCCCGGGAUACGGAGAAUCUGUUUGUUGAAGGUAAUACCUGUUUUUCGUCACAUCUGACGUGGGUUGACUGGUUUGGCACGCGUACAGCAGUAUCAUUGAGCUCUUCUCUUCAAUCGACAGUCUGAUCCAUUGACUACUUCGAUCCAUUGACAAUCUUGGAUCCAUUGAGCAGUUAUCAAACCCCCACCUGUUUUCGGUGCCAUUGAGCAGUUUCUAAUUGCGCGUAUUGUGUUAGCACUCAUCUUUCUAUUUUAGCUGAUUUUAGACGUUUUUUUCUAAAAAAACAAUACAUGUGGGUUACUCUGACAAAUUGGCGAUAAAACAAAAAACGGAGUAUGGGU
rnacentral:misc_RNA from 1 species